ACGGGAGGCAGCAGUGGGGAAUAUUGCACAAUGGGGGAAACCCUGAUGCAGCAACGCCGCGUGAGCGAAGAAGUAUUUCGGUAUGUAAAGCUCUAUCAGCAGGGAAGAUAAUGACGGUACCUGACUAAGAAGCCCCGGCUAACUACGUGCCAGCAGCCGCGGUAAUACGUAGGGGGCAAGCGUUAUCCGGAUUUACUGGGUGUAAAGGGAGCGUAGGCGGUGAUGUAAGUCAGAAGUGAAAGCCCGGGGCUCAACUCCGGGACUGCUUUUGAAACUGUGUCACUAGAUUGCAGGAGAGGUAAGUGGAAUUCCUAGUGUAGCGGUGAAAUGCGUAGAUAUUAGGAGGAACACCAGUGGCGAAGGCGGCUUACUGGACUGUAAAUGACGCUGAGGCUCGAAAGCGUGGGGAGCAAACAGGAUUAGAUACCCUGGUA
rnacentral:rRNA from 1 species